rnacentral:RNase_P_RNA from 2 species
CGAGUUGGCCAGACAGUCGCCGCGUUCGCAAGAACGGGGAGGAAAGUCCGGGCUUCAAAGAGCAGGGUGCCAGGUAACGCCUGGGCGGUGUGAACCGACGACAAGUGCAACAGAGAGGAGACCGCCAUCAUAGCCUCGGCUAAGGUGGUAAGGGUGAAAGGGUGCGGUAAGAGCGCACCGUGCGGCUAGCAAUAGUCCGUAGCAAGGUAAACUCCACCCGAAGCAAGACCAAAUAGGGUUCCGUAUGGCGUGGCUCGCGUUGGAACCGGGUAGGUCGCUUGAGCCUGUGAGCGAUUGCAGGCCUAGAUGAAUGACUGUCCACGACAGGACCCGGCUUAUCGGCCAACUCAACCU